UACAAAGGGGGCAAGCGUUGUUCGGAAUUACUGGGCGUAAAGGGCGCGUAGGCGGCCCGCUAAGUCGAACGUGAAAUCCCCGGGCUCAACCCGGGAACUGCGUCCGAUACUGGUGGGCUUGAAUCCGGGAGAGGGAUGCGGAAUUCCAGGUGUAGCGGUGAAAUGCGUAGAUAUCUGGAGGAACACCGGUGGCGAAGGCGGCAUCCUGGACCGGUAUUGACGCUGAGGCGCGAAAGCCAGGGGAGCAAACGGG
rnacentral:rRNA from 1 species